UAAUAGGCAACCUUCAAAUAAUUCAUGAACUUUGUGGUAGAGAAUUCUCUUUAGCAUCUAAAGUGCAUGCUUAAUAAUGAAACACUGAGCUUCCUCUGAAGCUUGCCGCUGAUCUGUGUUUGAGUUUUCUGUGUUUUGUAUAUUGGCACCCAAAGUUCAAAGCAAGUAUAAUCCUGUUUAGUGUUCGUUUCAGGAUUUUGUUUCUUCUCGAGCGCGUUUCUGAGACAAGUCGAUGCGAAGAACAGGCCACUCUGGUUAUUGACGCCAUUGAUACGUAAUGAUGAUGGAGGGACACCUAUGAUGAGACGGUUAAUCUGCAUAUACAUAUAACAUCGUUGGUAGGCAUGUGUUCUGAGAUGGUGGCCUCUGCAUUUCUCUAAGUGAUAGUGGAGGGAAAAACGGCAAAAAGGAAAGAAAAAAAAGCUUUUUCUGAUGAAAAAAAUCCUUUAGACUGACGUUCAGUUAUUCUUCAUUGUUAUUCAAUUUUUCGUUGUUUCAUCAGCUAUAUCAAAACAGUGGAUUUAGGAAAUAUAUACCAUAACCAGAGAUUAUGUUUGUAAUCUCUUGACGGUGAAGUGGUCAGAAGACGUGAAGGAAUGAAGAUUAUUGACUAAAAAAUCUCGCUCACGAAAGGAGGCAAAAGAGUAAACUGAACGGUGUGAUGAAAUAAUUUCGAUAUGACUUUCGGGGGAAGUGUCAUAGACGACGCCAAUUUUUCCCCGGACUCUUAAGGAAGGCAAAUAUACACUGGGAUCAGUAAGCUGCUCUAAAAAUGAACAUCAAAGUCUUCACAGUUGCAAUGGCGAUAGUAUUUAUCGUUUGUAUUCCUGAGGGAGAUUCAUUUACAGCUGGGGCAGGUGGACUCCCAAAGGGAAAAAGACCAAAAGCAGGAAAACGGCAGCAGAAUCUUGCCCUAUCUUCAGAAGAAAUCGAGUUUUGCAGGGCAGUAGAAGCUUACUGCGCGUCGAAAAAGAGGAACUUUACAUAGAUCUGCUAGAAAUGAAUCCAAAGGUGAACUCGUGUUAGCACAUUGAAUUUUAGGAACUCGAGACAGACUCGAUUGCUUCACUGGCUAUUAAAAUGUUGUAAUAAAACGCACUUAUAAAGUGUAUUCUUGGCUGA
rnacentral:lncRNA from 1 species